rnacentral:rRNA from 1 species
AUUGAACGCUGGCGGCAUGCCUUACACAUGCAAGUCGAACGGCAGCGCGGGGGCAACCCUGGCGGCGAGUGGCGAACGGGUGAGUAAUAUAUCGGAACGUACCCAAGAGUGGGGGAUAACGUAGCGAAAGUUACGCUAAUACCGCAUACGAUCUAAGGAUGAAAGUGGGGGACCGCAAGGCCUCACGCUCCUGGAGCGGCCGAUAUCUGAUUAGCUAGUUGGUGGGGUAAAGGCCUACCAAGGCAUCGAUCAGUAGCUGGCCUGAGAGGACGACCAGCCACACUGGGACUGAGACACGGCCCAGACUCCUACGGGAGGCAGCAGUGGGGAAUUUUGGACAAUGGGGGGCAACCCUGAUCCAGCAAUGCCGCGUGAGUGAAGAAGGCCUUCGGGUUUGGUAAAGUACGUCUUUUGUUCAGGGAAGGAAACGGUUAGGGGUCGUAAUAAUCCUCGGCUAAUGACGGUACCUGAAGAAUAAGCACCGGCUAACUACGUGCCAGCAGCCGC